CGAUAACGCAGAGCGACUCAGUGCGUAUGUAUUUUUGGAUGCUGCUUCGAACAAUAAGACAUUUAUAAAAACAGCUUUUGGUAGGGACACCUACUACGCGCAGUCAUGUUUAAGAAACUGAAGCAGAAAAUUAAUGAGGAACAGUUACCACAAAAGAAUGUCCUUUCACCACAACAGGCCCAGAUGAGUUUAGGUGCGAAGCGUGGUAAACCACCUGGCCUGCACCAAGACCCACCUUCCUGUUUAAGCGACAAAGAGAGGGAGGAACCACAGUCUCUUGCUCAAAAGCUACAGCAGAGGGUAUCCUCAGUUGAGUCUCUCUUCCGGGGCUCAGUACGUGCUGAGGGGAUUUUUCGCUCUGGCUCCAGGGAUAGCCUGGUUCGUAGUGCAUCUCGGGAUUCUCUCAAUAUUCUGGGGGAGAAUGAUUUUCUUUCAGGCCCGUCCUACGACCCCCCAUCUGACAUCGAGAGUGAGGCUGAGGAGGCACCUGCCAACACAGAGACUUUUUCCAAAGAGCAACUCUUGCAUUGUCUACAUAGGGUGGAGAAAAGCCUAGCAACGUAUAGAGGGAAAUACUCUGAGCUGGUGAUUGCCUAUAGAACAGUACAGAGAGAUAAAGAGAAAACGCAGGCUAUUCUCAGCCAGAGUCAGGACAAAGCACUACGGAGAAUAGGAGAACUUAGAGAGGAGCUGCAAAUGGAUCAACAGGCCAAGAAGCAACUGCAGGAGGAGUUUGAUGCAGUUUUAGAGGAAAAAGACCAGAUAAUUACUGUGUUGCAGACUCAGGUUGCUCUUAUGAAAAAACGACUACAUGGUGACCAUGAGGGUUCGGUAUCACCUAAGGAAGACAACUCCUACAUUUCUGAUCAUAUUCAAAGUAUAUCUGAUCCUCAAAGCAAUGCUCAAGGGGAAAGCCUAGAGUUAAACCUGGAGGGCAGUGGUGAGCCAGGUACAUCUGUGGAGUUGGAAGUUUUGCAUAAGCGAGUACAAAGGCAGGAGACGCUGUUGCAGCGCUGCAGGCAGCUUAUCGAAACCAACAAGGAGCGCAGCGCUCAGCUCAGCAGUGAGAACGAGGCCCUGCAGCAGCAACUUCAGGAGAGACUGCAAGAGCUGGAAAAGAUAAAGGAACUUCACACCACUGAGAAAACCAAGCUUAUCACACAGCUGAAGGAUGCCAAAAACCUUAUUGAACAGCUGGAGCAGGACAAGGGCAUGGUUAUUGCUGAGACGAAGCGGCAAAUGCAUGAGACUCUGGAGAUGAAAGAGGAGGAGAUUGCUCAGUUGCGCUCCAAGAUCAAACAGACUGUUGCCCAGAAAGAAGGAAUACAAGAGCAAAAGGAAAGAGCAGAAAAAGCUGCAUUUGAGGAGCUGGAACGGGCCUUGGGUGUGGCACAGCGAGCAGAAGAAUCACGGCGCCAGCACCAAGACUGCAUGGAGGCACAGAUAAAGGAUGUAGAGCAAGCCAGUAAGAAAGAAAAAAGGAUUCUACAGCAGGAGCUUACCAGAGUCAAAGAGGAGGUGGUAAAUAUCAUGAAGAGGUCUACAGAAGAUAAGAUAGUGGAAAUGGAACAGCUGCACUCUGAAGCUUUGGCUAGUAAGGAUCAGGAAAUAAGUGCCCUGAUAAACCAGGCAGUGGAGAAAUGUCGUAAAGAGCAACUACAAACAGCAAAAGAGAAGGAGCAGCAGGCCUCUUUGGCUUUGGAAGAAGUAUUGCUGCAAAAGUCAGCCCUGCAGACUGAGGGUGAGAAGAAAGCCAGGGAACUGCUACUAGAGCUAGAGAGUGCCAGAACUAGAAUUCUUGACCUAGAGAGUUCUUUGGUGAAGUCCUCAAGCGAAAAGAUUACCCAGACAGAUCAGCAUUCAGGAGAGAUUGAAGAACAGAAGAGUAUGCAUGAAGUUGAAAUAGCUGCCAUAGAAGAGAGACAUCAGCAGAAUCUGGAGAGAUUAAGGGCAGAACUGACAGAGACUUUGAAUCAGCAGCACUCUACUGCUGCUGAAGAACUAGUGCAAUAUCACAAGUCUGAAAUUAAAUCCAUUUUAAAAGACAAAGAAAUGCAAUUUCAUGCUCAUGUUGAGGACAUGAAUCAAAAAAUGUUGGAGAAAAUGGAUCUUAAACAAACUGAGCUGGAAGCUAUGUCUUUUAAACUCAGUGACAUGCAUAAUAGUAGACAACAGCUAGAGGAGAAGCUUGCAGCUUUUGAGUCUGAAAAUGAGUCAGCUCAAAAAGAAAUUAAGCUAAGAUUAAAUGAGGAACAGUUAAAACUUCAGUCUGAGCUUGAAAAUAUAAAGCAUCAACAUGAACAAUCUUUUAAAGAAAUGGAAAAAACUUUUAAAGAAGAGUUAAAUCAACUGAAUUUGGCACUAAAGGAGAAAGAUAAAGAGUUGGAGCAAUAUGUUUUACAAGAAAGAAUAUUACUGGAGGAUGCCACAAAGGCUCAACAGAAUGUUGAGAGACAGUUAGGGGAAAUGGAAGAGCUACGACACAUUGCACAGUCUGAAAGGGAUGCCUUGGCUGAGGCUAAUGCUCAGCUUAUCACUCUGAGAGAGGAAAUCGAGCAGGCAAAGAAUGAAUUACAAAAUGCACAGAAGCUUCUUGACGAAAUUCGUAAUGAGUGCAAGCGAACACAAAACUGUCUGCAACAGAAGACUGAUGAAAACAAAGAACUACAGCAAAAAGUACAACAAGCAAUGAAUGACAUGACUGAAAAAGAGAAUUCACAUGCUGAAAUGCACAAAACAAUGCAAGAGGAGCAAAAUUGCUUAAAGAAGCAGUUAGAUGAAGAAAAAUGUGCUUAUGAGAAGAGAUUUAAACAGAAAGCCAAGGAAAUGCAGGAAAAGUUAAAAAAAAAACUUGAGCAACGAGAGGAAAAUUACAAAGCUGAGUUAGUGAAAAGGGAUAAAGAUCUUCAGCAGAAAGAACAACAGGUAAUGGUACUAGAGAUGACUCAGGCUAACACAGAAAGCCUAAGUAGUGCUGUAUCUGACAUGGAGGCAAAUCACAAGGAGCAGUUAGAAAAGCUGCGCGAGGUCCACAAACAGAAACAGAAGGAACUUUUAUGUUACUGGCAGGAGAAGCUAAGCCAGCAGGAAAAAGAGUUGAAGGAGAAACAUUUGCUGGCAUUGCAGGAGAAUGUGCAAGAGUUGGAGGGCAUCUCUCAAAAGCUUUUAACCAGCAUAGAUGAGAAGGAGUUAGUUGUUAAAGAAACAAAGAAUCUUAGGGAAGAGCUUGCAAUAAGAGAAACAACUGUGCAGAAACUUCAUGCAGAACUUAGGGACGCUGCUGUGAAGCUAGAAAAUUUAUCUGGUGAAGAGGAUAUGCUUAAAAAGCAACUAGAAACUAUGGAGAAGAACUUAAACCAAGCCUUGAAUGAAAGAAACAACUUUCAGGAUCUGUUAUGUAAGGUAGAGGACACCAGUAAAGAGAGAAUACAGGCUCUCUCUGAAGACCUAGAAGACACAUACAAGAAGCUCAAUGUACUUGAAACAUCCAGAUGUAAGGAGGAUGAGAGUAUGCACACGAUUCUUGAAGAAAAAACUAUUGAGCUUGAAACUAAAGAAAGAGAAUUUGUAACACAAAUCUCUAAUAUUAGCAAGGAGUUGGAGAAUCACUGUCAAGGUGCACAAGUAGUGCUAAAUGAUUUAUUUGAUGAUCUGUACAAUACACUAGAGGCCAAAGUCAUGAAGCUACAAAAUAAGAUUACAUAUAGUCAAGCAAAACUGUGCAAUUUCAAAAAAGUCAUUGUGACCAAGAACGAAAAAAUUUGUUGUUUAGAGACAGAGCUUCAACAAGCCAUGGAGGAGAGCCAUAAUCUUAAAAAUGCACUUAACCAGCUGGCUUCUCAGCUUAGUGCCUUAACACUUGAGAAAGAAACUUUGCAAAAGGAUUCUAACAAUCACUCCCAACUACUUUCUGAAAAAGUCGCUUGUAUAGAGAAACUUAAUGCAGAAAACAAAAACUUAUCUAAUCAACUUGAAUCAAAUACUUUGCAUAUCAGUCAUUUGGAGAACAUCAUAGAUGAUCUUAAAAAGCAGUUAACUGAAAAAGAAGAAGCCAUAUCUAUGCUGAAUCAUCAGCACAAUGAGGAAAAGCAAAGCCAAAUGGAGGAUACAGUACAAAAAGUGGAGAAUGAAAAGAGAUUAGCUCUUGAGUCCAAGGUUCAAAACCAAACCACUGUUGAACAUCUUCAAUGCAAAAUAUUGGACACGGAAAGACAGAUUGCAGAGAAGGACGAGCAUCUUCAGAGACUCACUGCCAGUAUUGAGAAUCAGUCCAUCAGUAAAUCAGAAAUGGACCAGGUGCUGAGUGAAAAAGAGCAGCGAGUAAGUGCUUUGACUUUAGAGCUGGACAACUGCACAAGAAGGGUUAUUGAGCUGGAGGUACAACUUGAACAACAGGCAAAAAAACAAGAACAGGAAUUGGUUGAGUUGCAGCAAAACCAUGGUAUAUUAGAGAGGGAAAAGACAACACUAAUUGAGCAGCUUCAGCAAGCCAAAGAGCAGAGAUCACAGAAAAAUGAUUUAGAAAUAAAACUCCAUUCUUUAGAGAGAGAGGUAAAAAAUACCAAACAAGAACUCGAAAGUCAGCAAAAAGACUUUGAGAGGGAAAAGGCAUACAUACUAAAGUCACAAGCAGAGGCUUUGAAGGCAGCUGAGGAGAGUGCAGGAAAAGCAGCUGAGCUGAAAAGAAAAGCUGAGCAAAAAAUCAGCUCAAUUCGGAAGCAGCUGACUUCACAGAUUGAACAAAAAGAGCAGACUAUCAAAGAUAUGCAAGUGCAUCUGGAUGACAUCAGCCAGAGACAGAAUCAAAAGGAACAACAGAUGAAAGACAUGGAAAAGAAUGUGAAGGUCAUGGAGGAGAUCAUCAACAACCUAAGAAAAGAGCACACAAAACUCAUGGAACCGAUGGAACAGCAGCUCGUGCAACAGCAUAACGAAACACAAGACAACCAAAAUUCUCUGCAAAUCGCAAUUAUAGACAAGAAGUUAACAGCUAAGAAAUUUGCAGAAGAUGAGACUGAUGCUGUGUGCAGACAAAUGGAAGGAGAAGCCCUUACCAGGCUCAGAGAGGUUGAGGCUAGACUCGCUGAAUCUGAAAAACAGAACAUUGCUCAUCAAGCUAAAAUUGGUGACCUUAAAACAGAACUGUUUAAACAGACUGCAUUGGUUCAGGAGCUCCAGAAGACUUGUCUUGAGGUCAAUGUUAAAGAGAAAAAUGACACACAAAUAGAACAGUGCUCUGUAAGGCAGACUGCCAGUUUGUUACAAAUUGACCCUGUGAGAGCCAAGGACAAAAAAGAAGAACCCUGGAUAGAAAAUGAGUUGAAGAUCCAAGAUCUCAAUAGGAAAAUAGAGGAAAAAAAUGAUCAGCUUAAAGCCCAGGAAAACCUACAGAUGGGACUUAGUAAGAGUGAGAGUGAACAUUAUAUUCCAGAGUCCAGGAGUCCAGAGAACCAUCUACAAAGAAAACUGGUGGAAACUGAAAAUGAAAAGAAGAAAAUGUCAAAGGAUUAUGCCCAGUUGCAGAAAGACCUUCGUUCAUUGAGGAAAGAACAUGAAAAAGAGUUAGAAUACCUUAGAAAAGAAAUGGCUGAGGAGAAUGCAAAAAAAAUUAAACUUGACAUAGAAGAUUUGGAUAUGAAGCAUAAUUCUGCACUUAAGCAGAUGAUGAGGGAGUUCAACACCCAGAUGGCUUUAAAGGAGAAAGAACUUCAAGAUUCAGUAAGGGAGGCCAUUGAAAAGGCGCAAAGUGUUGAAGCUGAGCUAAUAAGAAGCCAUCAAGAGGAGGCUAGUCAGCUGCAGAUAAUAAUUGGCCAAAAAGAAGAUGAUAUCAAAAAAACUGUCCAGCGUUAUGAGCAAGUCCUUCAGAGUCGAGAGGAAGAGAUGGGCACUCGAGUGUGUGAGGUACAGAAUGAGCUGGAGGAGUUGCGGCAAAGGAGUCAAAGUGCUCCAAAGAGUAUUGAGGAACUUCAGGUCCAACUAGCUGCGAAGACCACCCUGCUGAGUGAAGCCAGGCUUAAAGAACAAGAAUACCAAGACAGGAUUCAUACUCUGGAGGACACGAUACGGGGAGCUUAUAAAAACUCAGUGGUGACUCACCUAGGAACCACAUACAAUGAACCUUCACACUACCCUAUUGAUUCCCUUACCGAACCUGCUGAGUUUGAGUAUCUGAGGAAGGUCAUGUUUGAGUACAUGAUGGGGAGAGAAACAAAGACAAUGGCCAAAGUCAUAACCUCCAUGCUUAGGUUUCCACUGGACCAGGCACAAAAAGUUCUGGAGCAUGAAGAUGCCCGAGUGAUGUCUUGGCCCUGGUAAAGUGAAAUGAUACCUGCAGCUGGACAAUUGAAGAUAAAGGGGCUUCUGCUGCUGCUCUUACUACAAACCAUGAUUUAAAGGAGGCAGAACUUCUUAGAACUUAAAUUAUCUAGUUCCUCUGGUCUACCUCUACUGCUGCUGACCUCCACUUCUCCACUACUUCAUGGACUGUUGGGACACAAGUCAGAGUCUUUAGAAAAACAUGGCAAUCACCUGCAGAUCUGCGUCAAAGCCGGUUCUAGUUUCUGAGAUGAUCAUGUUUGCUAUGAGCUGUGUUGGUGUGAUGUAAUCAGAAAUCUCUCAAUGCAGCAUUUCCCAACCUUUUUAACCUUUACACUUUCAGCAAGAAUAACAAAAUGUAUUAUUUUCAAACAAACGUUUAUUAGACGUCUGCCUAAUAUUUUUACAUAGGCCUACACAAGCCUACAAUUAUAAGAAAAGACUUAAACAAAAUGCACAAUUUAUAUGUGCUUAUACUGUAUAAAAAGGAAAGCUUUCUGAAAAAUUGGACUAUGAUUCGGUUAUAUUUCCUCAAUUGUGCAGCUCAAUUAGUGUGCCAACUGCUACUGGAGACAACUGAUUAUUUUGUUAAUGCGAGGACAGAUCUUUGAUAGAGCAAAUUGCAUGUCAUCCUCAGUGGUCAGUCUUGCACUGUAUUUAGUUUUGAUGGCUGUCAUUGCUGAAAACCCAGCUUUACACAGGUAUGUUAUGCUGAAUGGUAUCAACACUUUCAUUGCUGCAUCAUGAAACAUUUGGGUAUUCUUCAGACCAGAAUGUCUCCAAUGGGACUUCACUAAAAUGAGCUUUUGGACUGGGAUCAGAGAAUACAACCUGGUGUUUGUUGUGCUUGCUUUCACAAAGCACUUGCUUUCACAAGCGCUGUCUAAGAUGUCAUGUAGGCAUGGCUCCAUGUCUUUCAAAGCGAGCACCUCUAUGUAGAAAGCAGUGAGCUGAAAUAGCACAGGAAGCAAGGUCUUUAAUGCACUCUACAACACCUGAAUUCCUGCCUGUCAUACUGACUGCUUUGUCAGUGCACAUUCCAAUGCAAUUAAUCCAAUGUAUUUCAUUUGUUUUCAUGUUUUCAUCCAGAACUUCAAAAAUAUAAUUAGUAGCUCCUUGCAAAACAAAAAGUCCUUGUUUUUUUCCCCCAUUCAUAACAAACAUAUACAAGCAGGUGAGGCAUUUUGGACACAUCUGUUGACUUGUCUUGCUGAAGGGCAAAAUCACCUGAGAAUGACCCACCAUCUAAAUAAUACCUGCCUUGUGGUGGUCCUAGGAGAGUCCUGACCAUUAAAGAACAGGGUGAAAGCAGGCCAAAAAAACAUAUGUAGAGAAAUAGAUGGACUACAGUCAGUAAUUGUAGACCUACGAAGUGCUUCUAUAUGGUAAGUGGAGCUGAUAAAAUGGACAGUAAGUGUAGAAACAAGGAGGUGUUUUUAAUGUUAUAGCUGAUUAGUGUAUGUUGGUAUUUUCUGCUUCUGGUUAAUAUAGUGUGUUUACUGCUAGUGCAUAUAGAGCUUGUGUAGCUGGUGGUGGGAGUUUCUUCACCUGGGUCAGCUUC